rnacentral:lncRNA from 1 species
GAAUAAUUUUGCUAUUUUUUAAAAUACUGGCCGCCAUCAUCAAGCAGCGAGCAGCAGCAGAAGCGUUGAAGGGAGAGGAGGCAUCGGGACAGGCCCCUCUUAGGAGAGGAUUUAUAUCUAGUUGGAAAAAAAAAGAAAGAAAAGAAAAAGAAGAAAAAGAAGAAAAAAAUUGUCAAGCCCCCGAACUGAAGGUUACGAGCGGCCCGUCAGCAGCCCACAUGUAACCGAACUGUCGUGUUUCAUGGCUUUUUGCCACUCCAGCUGUCAAUCAAAGCCCGGAAUGUCAAGGUAGUGAAUGAAUGAUGGUUGAUGAUGAUGAAGAGGAGGAAUCUUUCAGACCCGUUUUUUUCUUCCAGUAAAACUCCGCGAGGGGUUUCUGCUUCUUGAAUUUUUUCCUCCCCCCUCCCCCCUUUUUUAGCUUUGCCCCCGCGGUAUCUAUAAUACGAUCCUCUCUCUUUAAAGUAUUGUUCAAAGAAAGCAGUGAGAAAAAUCAAGAAAAAAAAAUGAAUAGUUUGCAAAAAUUGGACUUCCUCCCCCCCUUUCCUGGAUCUUCCUUUGUCUCCCAGCCUGGAAUGCAGUGGCACAAUCACUGCUCACUGCAGCCUUGACCGUCUGGACUCAAGUGAUUCUCCUACUUCAACCUCCCAAGUAGCUGGGACUACAGUCAUGCACCAUCAUGCCUAUAAAGAUAAUUUAAUUUAUAAUAAAUUAUUUAUACAAACAAUAACAUUCAGUAUAUUUUUCCAAGACCUUGAUAAAAUAUGAUAGUGGUAUUCUUUUCUUGCCAUAUAUACUCAACCAUUCAAUUCAACCAACAAAUACCAUGAUGAUUGUGUGCUACUCUACAUGUUAAGGGGGUGUCAUGUACAAACUCAUCCAGGGAGCAUGGGAGUUAAUAAAA